UUGUCCCCCUUCCUCCUUUUCUCUCUCUAGAUGUGCAAAACGAAGCUGCACCGCGAAGCUUACCAUUGCUACUCCUGGUUACACAAAUAGGAUUUACUGCUAUGAACUUGAAAUCAGUGCCUGGGGCCUGCUGGCGUGACUUGGGUUUCAGUUUCGUUGCUGAAGUGCAGUUUGAGCGGUGGUCUCAAUCCGUGGGUCACGACGCAGCCGUGAGGUGGCUGCCACUCCGGGGACGUGGGCUGCAGCGGCAAGGAUGCGAUUUACCCUAGCUGAAUUGUUCUCCGUGGGUCCCGCCAGCAGAGAUCCUGAGGAGUUUGCAGGUGAAGAGAACGGUGAUCUGAAGUCACACGGCUGUGAACCAAAACCUGAGGAUGUGUUCCAGCUUUGGUUAGAGAAAAAAAAAAAAAAAAAGGAGAAUAUGGUUCCCAAACAAUGCUCCUUGCCUUACACAGACAAGUGAUAAUUUACAGACAUGUGCUCUCAGCACUGAAGCCAAUACGUGGUGCAAAUGGACUGCCUGGCGCGCUGUGUGAGAGGGAUCGACUCUUCUGUGGCCUUGUUCAAGUCUACAGCAUCAUCUCAGAGAACUGAGAAACAGGUAAAUCGGCAACAUCAGUGAUGCUGCUGCAGACAUUUGCAGAAUGAACGGAUACGUGAAAAAUAGCUACAGCCUUAAUUUUGUUUUUGACACUCUGCCUCAAUGCCACACGUGCUCCCUGCAGCACACUCCAGAGCAAGACAGCCCUGAGCACACACACGGCCUGAUGUUCUAUAAGAUCCAAACCACAAGAGCUGUGACUAACAGAUGUGACCUUUUAUUGGUUUUCUUUAUGAUGCUCUUGAUGGUGCGAUGAAUCCACAACACAUCGCCUUUCCUUUGGCUGUGUGAUCUGACAGGUCUCCAGCAUCAUGUGCUUCCCAGAAAUGAGCUCUGGGAAAAGACCCACAGUGUGGUCUGUGAGGAGGGCAAUGAGGAGAGUCAUCGCUUCUGAAAAGCAUUCCUGAUUCUCGCACUAAUUUUCAGAGAGCUGAGGGGUGCAGCUGAACCACGCUGAGAUGUCACCGUCCUUUGGGUUAUUCUUCUCUUACCCACCAAAGAUCUCUUUCCCUUUCCAUCUGCUCGGAUGGCAUGCAUUUACUCCUGCUGUCCAAAGAGAGAGAGAGAGCAGGCAAACAAGCGAGAAAAAAUUGACUUCGACUAAAGUGGAUUAUUUUGACAGCAAAGAAUUAGGCAGUAGCUACACUUGAAGUUACCUUGCAGAUUCUUACCAGGAGCGUGGGGCGGACGGCUGGGGAUAAGCUGGGAGCAGCAACCUCCUCUCCCAGCUCAGAUAGCGAGGACCACAAGUCUGGCAGUCCUCAGUGACACUCUGCAAAUUAUUUAACAAUACGGUUCACCUUUCUCUCAGGACUGUAGUGAGAAAAUUCCAUGUAUCAGUGAUGUUAUGAAGCUUAAACAACUCCUGCAAGAGAACAAAAAAAAAAUUUUUUUUCUUUA